UAGGUCAGUGAUGAGAAGCUAUCACCACCUUUUGUUCCAGUCUCAUGACCAUGAGAUCAACCGCAUGCACUACUCUGAGACCAA